UACAUCAUUGUAAAAUGCUUCCUUUUUCUGAUGAAACCAGAGUUCGUGCUCUUAUUUUGAAAGGCAGGCCUGCCUUUUCUCAAUAACUUCCGGUUAGCUUCACGUUCUCUCUCGGUGACUUUUUCUCAUGCAUGAAAGGAAGCUGAUAGACGCUGAAUACGUGUUCUGAUUAAUGAGAGACCCACAGCAAGCAAAACGUGUUUUCUCCCCUCCCAUUCGGAGCUGCAAGCGGGCAAAGUUGAAGUCUGAAGUUAAGAUCAAGCUUCCAGUAAGCUACACUAGGGAGUAUAUACUGGCUAACAGAGCUGAUUUCCCACAAGUGAAACUGAAGAGGCCUGGCCUCACUCAGAAAAUCUUGCAGAGCAGAUGUUGCAAGAACUAGAUUGUGAGGUAGGUCGUUUACUAAUUGGUUAUUGUUCUCAGGCUCUGGCUCCAAGAGAAGUUAUCCAUGGAAGUGAAAAUCAGCCUUUUGCACUCAAGUCUGUGCUGGGUUGGAGCAUUGUCGGCUAUAACAGUACUGCCAAUGACUAUGAAGAUGGAAUAGGUGUAAGUCACCACAUCAUUGCGAAGCAAGUCACAACACUCACAAUGCCUUCUUCUGAACUUAAGUCAGAAGUCUACUUUUCUGUUAGAACCCAAGUUAAAGAAGUUAUCUCCCCAUCAGACAUGAUUAAGGUUUUUGAGUCAGACUUCUUUGAAAGAAAGGGUGGAGAAGCUCUAAUAUCACAAGAAGACUUGUGGUUCCUUGCAAUACUGAAAGAAGGUAUAAAGCAGAAGCAGGACGGACACUACCAGAUGCUAUUGCCUUUCAAAGCAGAGAAGCCAAGUCUACCUAACAACAGAGCAUGUGCUGACAUCGACUAAAAUGCCUGAGAAAACGUCUAAAAAGGGAUGAGAAGUGUUGUAAAGAUUAUUUGGCCUUCAUGAAGGACAUGAUAGAAAGAGGGGAUGCCGAACGAGUUCCAAAAACAGAAAUAGACAGUAAAACAGCAUGGUAUAUUCCCCACCAUGUGGUUUAUCACCCUAAAAAGCCUGGAAAAAUUAGAGUCGUGUUUGAUCGUUCUGCCCAAUUUCAGAACAUAUCACUCAACAAACAUCUGUUGACUGGACCAGACCUCACAAAUAAUUUCACUGGGGUCCUGUUUCAUUUCAGAAAGGGACAGGUAGCCAUUAUGUGUGAUGUGGAACAUUUGUUUAAUCAGUUUCAUGUGGCACCACAAGACCAAGACUACCUCAGAUUUCUAUGGUGGGAGGAUGGCAAAAUGGACGAUCCUUCAUCAGUGUAUUGUAUGAAGGUCCACUUGUUUGGUGCUGCAUCUUCACCAGGAUGCACCAACUUCGGGCUUAAACACCUGGCAGCUCAAGGAGAUGGACAGUUCAGUGAGCAAACAGUGAAGUUCAUCCAGCGCAACAUUUACGUUGAUGAUGAUGAGGCAGACACUUUGUCUACUUUUAAGAAUAGGCUUGAAACAUUUUUAUUUGAUAGGGCCUAUAGUUAAAAUCUGAUGUUAGCCUAGAUCUGGACAAGUGGGGGAGUACAGGGAGGUGGAGUGUACAGUCGGUAAAGAUGGCUCUCCCUUGCCCUGCCUCCAACAUGCCUACAUCUAAAUAGGAUAGAUUAUCCAGAGUUGUCUCUGUAGUUAUGCUGCUAUAGGCUUAGACUGCUGGAGGAAAACUGACCACUUUUCACACUUUACUACUUUAUUCUACAGUCUGCUCUUUAACUGUACUAUUUUGUGCAAUUUCAGCUGUUAACUUUAUUUUCUCUGUAAGUGUUUUUCUCCCCAGAAGAAGCUACAACGACGUUCUGCUGAGCUGUGGUGGCCUCAUGGAGGGGGCCAUCGACUAGCACACUGCUGCUAACCACUAAAACAUUCUCCCUCUCCUGAUAAUAGCUUUUUGUUUUCAUUGACUUUUGAUGUGCUAAUACUAGUUCAUCCGUUUAAUUAUAGAUCCACUAGGAUAAAUACAAUAAAGUUUAUCUUUCACCAAAUACAAUAUUUACUAAGACAUCACAAUAUAACUAUAGACACAUUACGUGUGUGUGUGUGUGUGUGUGUGUGUGUGUGUGUGUGUGCGUGCGUGCGUGCGUGUGUGUGUGUGUGUCUGCUCUGUCUUCUCGAUCCCCAGUGAGUCGUGGAGGAUGGCUGCUUAUACUGAGCCAGGAUUCUCUGGAGGUUUCUUCCUGUUAAAAGGGAGUUUUCCUCUCCACUGUCGCUGCAUGCUUGCUUAGUAUGAGGAUUGCUGUAUAGUCACUGACACUAGUCAGUGACUUGAUGCAAUUUGCUGGGUUCCUUAUAUAGGAAACAUUAUUUCUGCUUGGCUUAAUGAACUGUGAAUUGGAAUGUUUAUUAUGUGAAGUGCCUUGAGACGACUCUUGUCGUGAUUUGGCGCUAUAUUAAUAAACUUGAAUUGAAUUGAAUUGAACUGAUGGAUUGACAAGUGUAGACAGCGAAGCUGAAGCUAUUCAGCUUGUCCAAGAAGCAAGGGAGCUUUGCAGCACUGGAAUGCUUUGCUUGCACAAGUUCAUCAGCAAUAAGAAAGUAGUGCUAGACACAUUUCCAAAAGAAGAGUGUGCUGAUGGAGCAACCAACCUUGACAUGGCUUUUGGAGAACAAAAAAUGGAAAGAGCUCUUGGUGUCCAAUGGAGCAUCAGUUCCGACAAGUUCCAGUUUCGAGUUGAAAUUAAAGAAAAUCCAUUCACCAGAAGAGGAGUACUGUCCACUGUAGCUUCAAUCUUUGAUCCCCUUGGAUUUUUGGCACCUUUCAUCCUAACUGGAAAGAUUAUCCUACAGAAAAUGUGCCAGGACAAGGUGGGUUGGGAAGAGCCCCUUCCUGAUUACCUAAAGCCACACUGGGAUGCUUGGCUUCAAGAUCUUUACAAUCUGCCUUCGGUUGAAAUACCACGGUGUUACACACUAUUCACAGCCAAGGAGGUUCAGCAGUAUGAACUUCACAAUUUUUUGAUGCAAGUUCAUCUGGCUACGGAGAAUGUUCUUACCUUAGAACUAUUUCCAAGUCCGGAGAAGUUCACUGCGCUUUCGUUAUGGGAAAGACCAGAGUUGCAUCAACAAGAGCGACAACAAUCCCAAGAUUGGAGCUCUCAGCUGCGGUUGUAGCCGCACAGACAAGUGAACUGCUGAAACAAGAAAUGGAGCUGGAAGACUUGCAGCAAUUCUUUUGGACUGGCUCAAAGGUCGUCAUUGGAUACCUCAAUAAUGAUGCAAGGAGGUUCCAUGUAUUUGUGGCCAACAGAAUUCAACAAAUUAAAUCAAGUACCGAACCAAGUCAGUGGCUAUAUGUUGCCUCUGAAGAUAACCCAGCAGACCAUGCAUCUCUCGGGCCAACCGCCAAUAAGCUUGUGGAGUCUAGCUGGUUUACUGGGCCCCACUUUCUAUGGCAAAGGUAUAUCCCUAAACAGGAAGAGACUCAGGUUGAAGAAAUCAACAAUGUCGAUCCAGAACUCAAGGGAGCACAGGUUCUCACAACCAAAGCGAAGGAAGAAAAAUCACUACUGGAACAUCUUGAGAAGUUCUCAGACUGGAGGAGAGUAACAAAGGCCAUAGAUAGGCUCAAGCGUCUUGCAAAGGAACUAAAGUGUUUAAGGGCAAGAUCAAAAGAACUCACCACACUUGAAGAAAGACAAGAAGCUGAACAAUUUGUAAUCAAAUUGGUUCAAAGGGAAGCAUUCAACAAGGAGAUCAAAGAACUGAGCCAAGAGGAAGAAGUCAAAAGGAACAAGUCAACUUCCCUCCAGAGGCUAAGCCCAUUCUUGGACAGACUGGGUAUCUUGAGGGUGGGAGGAAGGUUGACACAAGCAGCACUUCAUCCACAUGUGGCAAGGUGGAUAAACGAGGGCCCGGGCGGGAUUCAAUCCCCAGACUCCCGGGUGAGAGUCAUACGCUCUAACCAGUCAGCCAAAGGGACAUCCCCUUGGCCAAGUAGCCAGGGCGCAUGAUCAAUCGGGACAUUGUAACAGGACACUCACACUGUCACACACAUAUCAGACACCUAGUCAUUCUUCCUAAAGGACAUCUUUUUUCCCGUCUCUUACUUAAGCACUGUCAUGAGAAGGUGUGUCAUCAAGGUCGUGGAAUGACAAUCAAUGAAGUUCGUGCCAAUGGCUUCUGGAUCCUUGGGUGUAAUGGCGAAGUGUCAUCCUUUAUCUUCAAGUGUGUAAAGUGCAGGAAGUUCAGAAAGUCUAACCAAGAACAAAAAAUGGCCGAUCUUCCACCUGAGAGAAUGGAAAGUACACCUCCGUUCACGUACAGUGGAAUGGACUGUUUUGGUCCAUUCUAUGUCAGAGAAGGAAGGAAGGAGCUAAAGAAAUAUGGGCUCAUAUUUACAUGCAUGUGCUCUAGAGCCAUUCACUUAGAAGUACUGGAUGACCUUUCUUCUGAUGCCUUCCUGAAUGCAUUCCGAUGUUUCAUCGCAAUGUGAGACAACUUCAAAGCGAUCAAGGUACCAAUUUCGUAGGUGCGCGAAAUGAGUUCCAAAACAUGAUGAAAGGACUAUCAGAGGAACGUGUGAAAGAUCUUGGAUGCAUCUUUGUGAUGAAUCCUCCUUCUUCCAGUCACAUGGGCGGAGUCUGGGAGAGGCAGAUCUGCACUGUAAGGCUUGGUUUAUGCUUGACGCAUUCACUUUCCGCGCGGUGAUGCGGCUCGCAGCUGGAACGCGCUUCACAACUCACAGCGUUUAUGGUUUGUGCGGCUCGUCUCUGCGGUGAGCCAAUAUUCUCCCAAACUGAACGGGGCAGCAUGGAGCUCUACAGCAUGCAUCCAACACUACACCAUAGUAGAAGUAGAAAUGACUGUUUACAACAUGGCAUUUCAGCAUUUUUAACAGCGUUCUCGUCUUUUCCGACAGUGCGAGCUAUUUCUCUCCAAGAAUUAUUAACAUGUUGAUCACGGUGAUCUCUGAGAGCUGAAUCAUACAAAUGUCUGUAUUUACGAACCUCUGCCGUGCCAGUCCGCCAUGUUUUUCCGUGUCCGACCGUCCACGUGGUUAGAAAUUUUCCGAGGUGCGCGUUGCGGAAAUCUUGGGCCGUGCGGAGACGCGGUGGAGGGGCGUGGUUGUUAAAAUGACGCAAAAUGACGCAACUUUUCCGCGUGGAGCCAUGCGGACCUCGCGGACGCGUCAAGCAUAAACCAACCUUAAGGAGUGUCCUCACAUCUAUCCUUGACCAAUCUGCAGGUUGACUUGACAGCUCAUCGCUGAGAACACACAUAUGAGGUGAUGCUAUAGUGAAUAGUCGACCUUUGACCACUGUUCAUCUCAGUGAUCCAUCAGGCCCAGAACCUCCGACCCCCAGUCAUACCCUCACAAUGAAAUCUUCAGUCAUCAUGCUCCUGCCUGGUGAGUUCAUGAAGGAAGAUUUAUAUCUUCAGAAAAGAUGGAGGAGGGUUCAGCUUCUAUCAAAGGUGGAGUUUUGGACCAGGUGGAAAAUGGAGUAUUUGCUCAAUCUACAACAAAAAGAAAAUGGACUACCGAGAGAAGGAAUGCUAAAGUAAAUAACAUUGUCUUGCUGUUGGAUGACAACCUGUUAAGAAACCAGUGGAAGUUGGCAAGGGUAGUGGAAGUCUUCCCAGCGGCAGACAACAGGGUUAGAAGAGUCAAGCUGUUAGUAACACAUCACCGGACAAAAGAGGCAAGCGCACAUCCCAGCCACUUUAUUUAGAGAGAGCCAUACACAAAACAGUGCUAUUACUAGAAGCAGAGUAAAGGGUUAUCUUAAGAAGGGGCCUUUGUUUACUGUUGGAAGUUUUUUGUUGUUGUUUAACAAGUUAUUGUAAAUAGUUUAAACGAAUCACAGUGUGAUUGGUGGGAGUGUGAAUGCUGUGAAUAUAUCAUUGUAAAAUGCUUCCUUUUUCCGAUGAAACCGGAGUUCGUGCUCUUAUUUUGAAAGGCACGCCCGCCUUUUCUCAAUAACUUACGGUUAGCUUCACGUUCUCUCUCGUGACUUUUGACAUGCAUGAAAGGGUGCUGAUAGACGCUGAAUACGUGUUCAGAUCAUCGACAUACAUAUAUGGACAAUGGAUUUCCAUACACCCAAUAACACGUUUUGGAAGAAAAAUGGGAGGUGGCUACCACCGUCAUUUUGACCGUGUCACAAGUUCCGUCAAGCCCAGACAGUUCCACAAAAGGGAAGAGAGGUGGAGCUGAGGGUGGGGCUGUAAGGCUGGGAUCAAAUGACGACACCCGGUCGAACUAGCUACAAGCUAACCUGAAGCUAAUCCAAAGCUAACGUGGAGGUGGGAGCUAAGCUAACGGAGGUAGCAACCUAGCUACAACCGGAGCUAACUCUGUGGAACACCAGCGACCUGAAGCUCACACGGUUUGUGUGGAGGUUUGCGGUACUUUUUCAUGAAAACUAUCUUUCUGUGAAUAAAAAAAGCAUUAAAUCGGUAAGUUUAUAAGUUAUUUCCUUAAUGAAAACAUUUUUUCCUUUGAGCAAGUUUUCAAUAUUUUAACGUACCGUAUUUUCCGGACUAUAAGUCACUCCGGAGUGUAAGUCGCACCAGCCAUAAAAAGUAUAAUGAAGAAGAAAUAAACAUAUGAGUCACACUGGACUAUAAGUCGCAUUUUGGGGGGAAAUUUUAUUAUUUUUCUUACAAAAUCUGAGACCAAGCAUUUCACAUUGCAAGACAAGUACCGGUAACAAUAACAGAAUAAACAAUGCGGGCGCAGCAGCGCGUCACGGUCUCCAGUAGAGGAUGGCGGUGUUUGAAUCCCUCCCAGCGGGCCAGGGGAGCCCAUUCCUGGGUCGGAGCCAGCCCGCAGCAGCGCUACACAGGCUGCAGCAGGUGAUGGCGGGGCAGAGGAGCUGAAACUUGGGCCGGAUCCAGUGUGCAACAGGCUCCAGCAGGUGAUGGCUGUGUGGUUUUUUAUUCCCAGCGGGGCAGGGGAGCUCAUUCCUGGUCCAGAGCCAGCCCGCAGCAGCGUGGUAUAGCCUACAAAAUUUGGUAUAUAAGUCGCUCCAGAGUAUAAGUCGCAGGACCGGCCAGACUAUGAAAAAAAGUGCGACUUAUAGUCCGGAAAAUACGGUAGUUAUUAGUAUUUGAGAUAAAUUAGCAGGCUAAAUACAUUUCAUAUAUUUCCAAAACGUAAUACUUGUUUGUAUCGUGUACAGCCAAGUAGCCUUUAUUCUGGACUCAGUACAAUUUACCAAAAGUAAAGAGACAUUAUACAGAUGAAGUAAGCACAAGACAACUUACUGGAAGAAACAGAAUUAUUAUCAUGAGAACCAGAACAAGAGAGCCUGAUAACAGUCAUGUGAAAAUAACAGUUAAAAAGUAUGUAUGUGUAAUAGAAAUAAAAAUAUAUUAGAAUUAGUGUAACUCACUGUGAUCCAAACAAUAAAUCAGCCAUAGCUGAUUAGCAAUCAUGAAAUGAGGUCUGGGAGUUUUUAACUUUCAUUCUUUUAUUACAUUUUUUUUUCUGAGAUCUGUUAAAAGGUCACCAUGGCAGCCUGUGUGUCUUCAACGUCAGCUACACAAAGCAGCAAGUCCAUUUGGAUCAUUGGAGACAGCUACGUCAGGCGUGGUGCCCAGAGAGCUGCAGAGACCCUCGGAGACAACCUUGGCCUCCCUGACGUCCGUGUCUCCUGGUUCGGUUGGGGCGGACUGAGGUGGAAAGACCUUCUCCCCUUCUUUUUCCACUCCCUGCAUGGAAUGACAUGGGGGUGGUCAGCAGUGUGAAGCUGGUCAACAAGAUGAAGGAGGACCUGCACCGGCUUCACCUUCUACACCCUCAUAUGACGAUUAUCAUGUCGUCCAUCACCUAAAGGUGUAGAUGGAGGGCAGGUGUAAAACCUGCUAAAACUGAGAAGGCCAGGAGGUCUGUCAACAGUGUUUUGGCUACAUUUAUUUCUAGCUUAAAUGGUGCCAUUGUUGUGCAUCCUCACAUCAGACAUGACAGUCCAGGGAUAUUUUUGUCAGACAGAGUUCAUUUCACAAACAGGGGAAAUGAUAUAUUUUUAACUAAUAUUGCAGAUUGUCUUAAUGGCCAGCUCCAAAAGCAGUGAAAGACUUCCAGGUGGGAGUCUCGCUGCUUUUGAAUUUGGCCUUUAGGACAAAUUUAUUUUCAGGCAAACAGGAUAAACAUAUCCCUGACUGUUAUAGCUAACGUGUCAUUGAUAUAUUUUAUCUAUAGCCAUAACACUGUUGACAACUCUGUUCUUCCUUCACAACCCAAUGUUCCACUCACUCUGCAGCUCUCUGGGCCCCUUUUAUUAUUUAACGUUUUUUUUAAAUGUACCGACACUUUGUGUCCUGUUAUUUUAUAAAAUGUGAUGUAAAAAAUGUUUUUGCUCAAUUACUGGAAUUUCUUUGGUUAAGACAAAAAAGGAAGGAAGAAUCAUUUAUGCCAAGUUGUUUCUACAACAGGCCCGUUUCAAGUCCAACAGUUUUUAGCAGCCAAUUGAAACGUGUUCUUUACUAACUUUACUUCAUUUAAAAAUCUUUCUAAAAUAAACCUUAGAGGCUGCCAUAUUGCAAAACCCAAUCUUACUUGUUAUCAGUGUUGGGCAAGUCACUUCAAAACUGUAAUGCAUUAUUUAUUACUUGUUACCCUCAUUUUAAAGUAAUUCAUUACAUUACAAUAUUACGAUUUUAAAAUGUAAGGCAUUACACUACUUUUGCAUUACUUUAAGUUACUUUCACCAAAACAACUUCAGUAUGAAUCUGGUCAUGUGACGCUCAGUGAGCUCAUGACAUAUAUGUGGAAGGUGAUGUGGUGUCUGAGCUAGGACUGCUGUUAAAAACAGUCAGAUAUAAUAACAGUGCUUUAUUAAAUAAAUGCAACAACAAUCUGUACUCUCAGCACGCUGCCAUCUUAGAUUAACUGAGCAGGGAGUGAGGUGGUGGGGGCUCCAAGCCUAUAUUUGCCUUGGUCCCCAAAUGCCUUGAUACGGCCCUGGAUGUGGAACUGACUUCUGGGGUGAUCUGAUUCUAUCACAUGUAUAAAUAUUAAAUGCUUAUAUAUUAUUGCUUUUCACUGGUAAAAAUGUGUAUUGGGGAUAAAUCUACCUACUUUUUUUCUUUUCAAGCACUUUGUUUUUUUCUUCUUGAUUUUAUGUGAAUAAUUUCCUGCCCUUUCUCUCUCUAACCUUCCUGCAUGCUGCAUGUUUUCUCCGUCUUCCAGAAAAAACUGUUUCCUAGACUUCCUACUUUCUAACUAUCAGCCAAAGGGAUCUUCACAUGCGCGGCGCUCCAGCAGUAAUGAGUUGAAAUCACCGGGGCACAGAUUAUGAACUCAGCUUUGGCAAAGCACGUCAGAAAAGCACAAAAUACCAGAGAAUAUGCGCUGAUAUGAACGAUCGCAGGUGAAUUAUUUUGUUUUAGUGGAGCGAUUUUGUGAAUGUUACAGCGGCCGCGUGGAGGACGCAGCUGGAGUAGCUGAGCCGUUACCGCUGCAUCCUCUCUGCCCGCAAAGCUGAGUCCAUAAAUGAUGUAAUAUAUGCAGAUACUGGAUCUUUCUUCGGGUUUCCCGCAAUUUGAAUUUUUAAGGAACACAUCUUGAUUCUGGGUUUAAAAAUGCAUUGUAAUUACCGCGUUACUGACAAUUGUACCGAGUAAAUAUUACCAUUUUCUUUCCCUGUAAUGCCUUACAUUACCACAUUACAGCAAAAAGCAAUGCAUUACAGUAAUUAAUUACUUUUGUACCGUAUUACUCCCAACACUGCUUAUGUAAAUAUUAGCUUUGUAGAUAUUUUUUACAGAUAGAUAUUUGUGUGCUAAAAAAACCAAAAACUGAAAUAAUUUGUCAUUCUUUAUUAAAAAACAACAAAAUACAGGUAUACAGAAAGUGUGGGAAAAUGAUAAUGUGAAAGUAUUGCUCUUUAAAUGUAAUACUAUUUCUCUUUAAAAAGAAAAACUCUAAAAAUGUCCUGUACAGCAACAUGACAGACAGGUCUGUCUGUCUGUCAGAAUGUGCUGAAUAGAUUUGCUCUAUCAAGAAGAGCCUUAAUGUGUACGAGUUUAUGUUAUUGUAAUAUUGGUUUGGGUUAUGUAUCGCCACAUCAGCAUGUAAAUGCUGAACCAAUCUGGAAUAAAGAGGGUUGAUAGAGGACAAACAAGUAAAGAAGAGAGAAAAAUAAAAACAACUAGGAAACCAACAUAAAAACAGCAACCAGCAGCUGCACUUGUAAAGAAACCUUUCUAGGAAUCAUCAAGAAAACGUGGGAUGAACAACUAUAAACAUGUAAACCAUGAACAACAAACAUCAACAAGCAUGUGUUCGUGUGUGUGCUGGGAUGUGAAGUGUGAGACCUCCAAGGAUCAGGUGCACCCUGGAACGGCCCCAAGCACCAGGAAACCAGCAGCCAGCACAGAGCACAGAACCAACUCAGACCACCUCCCAGACAGCCGAGCACCUUGCUACAGAUAACUCAGCAAGGCCACAUCCAGAACUGGGCUGACACAGGUCAUGGGCCACAGGACACAGGAAUCACACAGCAAUUCCACCUGAAACAGAAACAUUAAAAUUAGAAUUAAAGACAACUGUUGUUCAAUAUGACAUCAAAUGGAAUUUUAAAGAAGGCAGUUGGACUUCUUUGGUUUCAUGAAUAUAGGAGGGUCCAUCUUAUUGUAGCUGUCUUGUUGCUUGAUGAGCAGAAACUGUCACCUGCAAAACACCUCCUCCCUACCUCCUCAUAGUUCGUUUGCAUCGUUUUCUCUGUUAUGUGGGAGUCGUUGUGUUGAUUAGAUGAUCACUUAGGUCACUUAGGUGUCUGAAGGACUCUGCACAGGGGUUUCUUUGUAAGUAGGAACAGGAAUAAAGUUAUAGAGGUCAGCAGGUUCAAGAUCAGCUUCAAUUAAUUUCAACAUUAGAACAAAGGAUGUUUUGUAGGCGUGAGAUCACCAAAGAUGAUAGAAUCUUUUAAAUCUUACUUUCAGAUAAGCUGAUGACGUUCAACAGCUGAAACUGGGGUGGUGGCAGGAACUCAACGGCAGAGAGAAAAUGAAUCCCUGCUAGGAACAAAAUAAAACAAACAAACCAAAAACCCCAUACUCUCAAAACUUACCUUGUCAUUCCUACUUACCUGUACUUUCCUUCUUGGAAGACGGUUUUUGACCUUUUAAGGUAAAAAAAACAUCUUCCUUUAGGACGAGAAGAUUGUAGGUACAGCUGUGUCCUUCAGGCAAAGUCUCCCCUGAAAAAAAAAAGAUUCACACACACACACACACACACACACACACACACACACACACACACACACACACACACACACACACACACACACACACACACACACACACACAUCAGACAAGGUCAAUUUCUGUAUCUCAAAAACACACUGGUACACCAGAGCACUGUGUGUGUGUGCACAUGCUUGCGUGCAUGCAUGUGUGUGUGUGUGUAAAAGCCAUGUGGAGAGUGUUUGUUAUUUAUAAAGCAUAUGUAGUUGGAUUUUAUCCAGAAUUGACACUUUGAAAAUAUAUAUUUUAAUUACAGUUUGAUUUAUUUGACAACAGUAGAAUGUUAAUUAUUUUGUUAAUUUUCGUUAAAUGCCUAACAUUUCAGUUUAACAUGAAUCUUUGUCAUUCAUCCAAAUACAUAAAGUUACACAUUAAAGACUGACAAAAAAGGUUAAUUUGUUUAUGAGUAAUUAACCAUAGAAUUAGAUGGAAAUUAAUAACGCGAUUGUUUCCCAUCUAAACAGCCCCAGUCACAGACAGUUCAAGGGAGGGAAAUUUUUCUUCUUGUAACACAGCAAUGUAACAUCUGUAUAUUAUACAGCUAAUGCUUCAAUUUUUUCAAUCUUAACCAAAAUAUGAAGUAAUGUGUUUGUUUUCUCCCCUCCCAUUCGGAGCUACAAGCGGGCAACGUGGUUGGUAGACUGUAACUUUAUUUGUGGUUUUUAUGGGUUAUAUGUGUGUAAACUCACUGUUUAUUCUGUCUGUUUGUAGUUCUACGGUGGUUUACGGUGCAGCAUGAUUCUAGCUUUGCUAGUCAAUAAGAGUGCAAAACAAAGAACUGUGAAAAGAACUGAAGUCCUCGCAUGCUUCAAUGGCCGCCAUACCCCACUUCUUCCCUAAAACUCUUUCAUGUUUAUCAAUAAAUAUGUUCCAGGUAUUUUUUUUCAUCCAAAUAUACCUCCAAAAAUGACAUUUUCCACCCAUUCCAAAUCAUGACAGUACAUUUGCAGCUCGUAGGUUCCUAAACUCCUUUCUUCCUUAAAAACAAACACCCUUUAAUUUGUUUUAUUUUGUAAGCUGAAUCUCCAUUUAAAGGAACAAACCCCCUUUUUUAUAAUUGGCUAUUUUACUUUCUUUACAAUAAUAUGAACAUUUUUAUCACUCUUCUAGAUUGCUUCAUAAUUAGCAAAUAAAGAAUAAAAAACAUUUCCUUUCCCAACAUUUUCAUGUAUUUUGUUGUGAUAGAAAAAAAUCUGUUGAUAUCACAAAAAAAUUUGGAAAAAAAAUCAGUUUCAAAAAAUAUCUCACUGAAAAUAAAAACGGUCCUUCCACGUCUCUGCCACUAGAGGGCGACAUGCACAAUAAUAUAAGUGUUGUCAGUAUAAUGGGACAUACUAAAACUGGGGGAAUAAACUACAGCUAGUGGUAAAAUGUACUAAUUAGGAUUUGCUUUAUAUAAUAAAAUAGAAGUAAUUUCUUAGUUUUGGGCUGAUCUUUGAGACAGUUCUCUCUUGAGUUGCAUUUACAAAUCAUUUGAUUGCUUUGCAUUGUUCAGUUUUUAUCUCAAGCAAUUAUAAAAACAGCAAGCAACAGUAAACUGAAGCAUCAAAAUGGCAAAAAAGUUUUCAGAAACGUAAAAAACCCCAGCUGUGAGUGUGUUCUGUCUGUUAUCGGAGAGAAGGAUGAAGGGAGCAAAGGGAGGUACAAGACCUGACUUUAGGUUGCCCUUCAGGUGUAAUACACAUAAAAUUAUUUUCCUUACCCUCACUAGUAAAUCUGUAUUAAUUUUGACCAGAACCACUUAAAAAGAAUCGUUAAAGCGGAUUAAUCAAGCUGGUCCUGUUUAAUGUCUUCCGUUAAUUAGUUUGUCAGCAGUGUUUUAGUAUCGCCUAAUGACUUCAUAUUUCACCAAUGACAUUCAAAGGAUAAUACAAGAGGAGAAAUGGCCCAUUCAGGCUUCCGUUCUUUCCCUUAAGAUGCCCUGGGUGAAUAAGACAAGGUCAGGGAGGCCUAGCCUUUGGGGAGCGUUAGACUACCGGGGAAAGGGGGAGGAGGAGGAAUUCCAUUGAGGAAGCCGUCUCCCCUCUAAAACAGCAUGACGGGUACAAUGUGAUACAGUCAGAACAAUACUCUGCACAAGGGAUUUGUGAUACGGCCCUGUGGCGUACAGACAAUCGGGUCUGACUCUUUUUGAUGGAAGGGAUCAAAGCUGAUUAAUAUCCUUAUAAUUUGUGCUCGUAACCAUUGCACAGCUCACUGGAAGUUGGUCCUUUCUGAUCCACAUCAGCACUUUCCAAAGCUUCCCAAAGCAGGAACAAAGAAAUCAGAAAUCGUAAAGUUGUGGCUCACAAUAUUGAGGACGCAGCAUUUUCUCUGUGAUGCAAAUCCUAUGUUAAACAAAAUGCUCAAUGGAGGCUAAUGGAUCCCGAACAAGUCCAUGCACUGCUUCUAAAAUGCUUUGUUUGACAAAUCAAUUUUCCCAUAACCCGGUGAGGAGAAAAGUGAUGCAGAUUGAUCGCACCCCCUGACUUUGUUUCCAGAAUAUUGUUUGAUGGCUGGAUAGAUUAAUUGGUAUGACAUUUGAAAGCCUCCUCUUGACUGUCAGCAUCUAAGCCUUUGCUCGCCAAUCGAACGGCGGUCUAAUUGUCUCCUCUGUAAUACCUCCAUUCACAAAUUAGAAAUGGUGCCUCUGUAAACUGUUCCCAUUGUAAGAACCAACAACAUCACGCUGCUUAAUCAGAUAUGGAUCUGAAGUGUGUGUGUGUGAGUUUGUGUGUGUAGAGGGGGGUGAUGAUGCUGGACUGAUAAGACAGAGUGCAUUAAAGGGCAUCAACCCAAAUCGCUGUGCCAGCACAUCCACGUCUCACUGAAACACACAAAUCAGAUCCCAACAUGAGCUUGAGUCAACAGGCUCUUCAAUCUGUUGGAGUUUAUCUGGAUUUCUGUUCAUCCACACACAGCUAAUGUUUGUAUUCUGUUUAGUCCUGAAAGGGGUUGAGGUCCAUGCAAAUGAUCCACUUUCUCCUCAGAGACAUAGUGCAGGCUAGUUGGGUAUGACAAUGUAAUAACACAUCGGUGCGCCUGCAGAAAACGCAUUAAUAAGGAAGUCAUGUCUACUUAACUUUUCAGCUUGUGUUAUUUUCUUCAUGCAGAAUACAAUGGCGGACGGGGCGACAGUGGCACAGGAGUUAAGUGCUCGCCCAUAAUCUGAGGGUUGCAGGUUCGAGCCCUGCUCAGUCUGUCGCUGUUGUCAUGUCCUUGGGCAAGACACUUAACCCACCUUGCCUGCUGGUGGUGGCUGGAAGGACCGGUGGUGCCAGUGCUCGGCAGCCUUGCCUCUGUCAGUGCAGCUGUGGCUACAUCGUAGCUCAUCCCCACCAGCUGUCAUGGACUGAGGUGAGAUCAUCCUCUUUUAACAACCACGCCCCUCCACCACGCCUCCGCAUGGCCCAAAAUUUCCGCACCGCGCACCUAGGAAAUUUUCUAACCACGCGGACGGUCGGAUGCGGAAAAACAUGGCGGACUGGCAAGAACUAGUAUGGCAGAGGUUCGUAAAUACAGACAUUUGUAUGAUUCAGCUCUCAAAAAUCACCGUGAUCAACAUGUUGUUAAUAAUUCUUGGAGAGAAAUAGCUCGCACUGUCGGAAAAGACGAGGAUGCUGUUAAAAAUGCUGGAAUGCCAUGUUGUAAACAGUAAUUUUUACUUCUACUAUGGUGUAGUGUUGGAUGCAUGCCAUAGAGCUCCAUGCUGCCCCCUACAGUUUGGGAGAAUAUUGUCUCACCGCAGAGACAAGCCGCAUGAACCAUAAACGCUGCGAGUUGUGAAGCACGUUCCAUCCGCGAGCCGCAUCACCAAGCGGAAAGUAAAUGCGUCAAGCAUAAACCAAGCUUAAGACCUCCACUCCACCUUCAAACAACCAGACCUACUAAUCCAGAAUUUUCUUGCAGGCCCAGCCCCCCUUUGCAUCUCCCAGUUUGGGACGUCGUUAGUUGUGCACUGUUUAAUAAAGCCUUUGUUUAAUUUUACAUUUGUCUCUUGUGUUGAUUCUGCAUGUCUUGGGUCAAGCACUUAAACCCCAACAUGGCACCAGCGC